GGCCAUGAUCGUGGUGGUAUAGACAGUACUUGUUAGGAUUCUGCUGACCUGGAUGGGACCGCAAUUUUUUUGCUCAAGGGAGCUGAUCUCUGAUCUCCAUCAAUACUUGGGCUCGGACAAUAUUCAACAACAUGUAGUUUGUGAACCUCCUAGGCAGAGACAACACAACGCUCUCCUUUGAAGGAAUUCUUUUGUUGGCGGAUCUAUAGGGGAGUUCGGGACCUCCAACAUCUGGGUGGAGAGCGAGAGUCUUGCUGAAUCCUUGGCGG
rnacentral:lncRNA from 1 species